GUUCUCGCUUCGGCAGCACAUAUACUAAAAUUAGAACUACACAGAAAAGAUUAGCAUGGCCCCUACACAAGCAUGACACACAAAUUCAUGAAGCAUUCCAUAUUUUU